GACUCUGUGGUGAAAUUCAUGUUGAGUUGCAAGCUCAUCGAUGUACAUGAGAGAUGUGCCGGAGUCU
rnacentral:tRNA from 1 species